rnacentral:lncRNA from 1 species
GCAUCUUGUGCCUACGUAUCUCAUCUGAACAUGAGAAUCAGAGUUGCCGUAGUUCGGCUCACGCACGCCGAAACAAAACAAAACACAAAAGGCAAACAUGGAACCCGAAUGCCAAUCGCUGGACUUACAUCAGCUUCCGAACCAAACAAACCCACACUGGAAACCAGAUGCCACUUGAUGGACUUAUACCGGACUCCAAGCA